rnacentral:rRNA from 1 species
AUUGAACGCUGGCGGCAUGCUUUACACAUGCAAGUCGAACGGGCUUGGGGGCUUGCUCCCAAGUUAGUGGCGAACGGGUGAGUAAUACAUCGGAACGUACCGUGUAGUGGGGGAUAACGUAGCGAAAGUUACGCUAAUACCGCAUACGAUCUACGGAUGAAAGCAGGGGACCUUCGGGCCUUGUGCUAUACGAGCGGCCGAUGUCUGAUUAGCUAGUUGGUGAGGUAAAGGCUCACCAAGGCGACGAUCAGUAGCGGGUCUGAGAGGAUGAUCCGCCACACUGGGACUGAGACACGGCCCAGACUCCUACGGGAGGCAGCAGUGGGGAAUUUUGGACAAUGGGCGAAAGCCUGAUCCAGCCAUGCCGCGUGUCUGAAGAAGGCCUUCGGGUUGUAAGGACGUUUUGUCUAGGGAGCGAAACUUACUGGUUAAUACCGGUGAGGCUGAGAGUACCUGAAGAAUAAGACACCGGCUAACUACGUAGCCAGCAGCCGCGUAA